rnacentral:rRNA from 1 species
AGCCAGACUCCUACGGGAGGCAGCAGUAGGGAAUAUUGCUCAAUGGGGGAAACCCUGAAGCAGCAACGCCGCGUGGAGGAUGAAGGUUUUCGGGUUGUAAACUUCUUUUAAGAGGGAAGAGUAGAAGACGGUACCUCUUGAAUAAGCCACGGCUAACUACGUGCCAGCAGCCGCGGUAAUACGUAGGUGGCAAGCGUUGUCCGGAUUUACUGGGUGUAAAGGGCGUGUAGCCGGGCCGGCAAGUCAGAUGUGAAAUCCCAAGGCUCAACCUUGGAACUGCAUUUGAAACUGUUGGUCUUGAGUAUCGGAGAGGCAGGCGGAAUUCCUAGUGUAGCGGUGAAAUGCGUAGAUAUUAGGAGGAACACCAGUGGCGAAGGCGGCCUGCUGGACGACAACUGACGGUGAGGCGCGAAAGCGUGGGGAGCAAACAGGAUUAGAUACCCCAGUA